rnacentral:rRNA from 1 species
GAUAAACUCGGGGGACUGCUGACUAUAACCAUUUCUCAAAACAGAGGAAGGUUGCGGCAAUAACAGGUCUGUGAUGCCCUCAGAUGUCCCGGGCUGCACACGUGCUACAAUGAGUGGCGCAAUGUGCUAAUGUUUAAGGGAUAAGAGUGUGGUCAGUAGAACGUCGGGAUUUCCCCUGACGUCUCCCCCGCACGAUUAUCAGCCUUCCCUUAACAGGGCGGGCAACCUUUUCAAAAUACUGGUUUGAUGUUAAAGUAUUGAGUCGUUUUUUUUGGAUGGUGGUUUGUUAACCAAUACCAUCCGGCAACUGCUCGCGAGUUUGUGGUUCUGGCGACUCAUGGUGGGGACCGACGUUUGUAAUUUUUUGUCGCGUGUUAACUAGGAAUGCCUUGUACUGUCGAUUCACUAA